GAUGAACGCUGGCGGCGUGCCUAAUACAUGCAAGUCGAGCGAACAGACGAGGCGCUUGCUCCUCUGACGUUAGCGGCGCACGGGUGAGUAACACGUGGAUACCCUCCCUAUAUGACUGGGAUAACUUCGGGACACCGGAGCUAAUACCGGAUAAUAUAUUGAACCGCAUGGUUCAAUAGUGAAAGACGGUUUUGCUGUCACUUCUAGAUGGAUCCGCGCCGCAUUAGCUAGUUGGUACGGUAACGGCUUACUAAGGCUACGAUGCGUAGCCGACCUGAGAGGGUGAGCGGCCACACUGGAACUGAGACACGGCCCAGAGUCCUACGGGAGGCAGCAGUAGGGAAUCGUCCGCAAUGGGCGAAAGCCUGACGGAGCAACGCCGCGUGAGUGAGGAAGGUCUUCGGAUCGUAAAACUCUGUUAUUAGGGAAGAACAAAUGUGUAAGUAACUAUGCACGUCUUGACGGUACCUGGUCAGAAAGCCACGGCUAACUACGUG
rnacentral:rRNA from 1 species